rnacentral:rRNA from 1 species
AUUGAACGCUGGCGGCAGGCCUAACACAUGCAAGUCGAGCGGAUGAAGGGAGCUUGCUCCUGGAUUCAGCGGCGGACGGGUGAGUAAUGCCUAGGAAUCUGCCUGGUAGCGGGGGAUAACGUCCGGAAACGGGCGCUAAUACCGCAUACGUCCUGAGGGAGACAGUGGGGGAUCUUCGGACCUCACGCUAUCAGAUGAGCCUAGGUCGGAUUAGCUAGUUGGUGGGGUAAAGGCCUACCACGGCGACGAUCCGUAACUGGUCUGAGAGGAUGAUCAGUCACACUGGAAGUGAGACACGGUCCAGACACCUACGGGAGGCAGCAGUGGGGAAUAUUGGAAAAUGGGCGAAAGCCUGAUCCAGCCAUGCCGCGUGUGUGAAGAAGGUCUUCGGAUUGUAAAGCACUUUAAGUGGGGAGGAAGGGCAGUAAGUUAAUACCUUGCUGUUUGGACGUUACCAACAGAAUAAGCACCGCCUAACUUCGU